rnacentral:rRNA from 1 species
GACGAACGCUGGCGGCGUGCUUAACACAUGCAAGUCGAACGGAAAGGCCCUGCUUGCAGGGUACUCGAGUGGCGAACGGGUGAGUAACACGUGGGUGAUCUGCCCUGCACUUCGGGAUAAGCCUGGGAAACUGGGUCUAAUACCGGAUAGGAGCCAUUUUUAGUGUGAUGGUUGGAAAGUUUUUUUCGGUGUAGGAUGAGCUCGCGGCCUAUCAGCUUGUUGGUGGGGUAAUGGCCUACCAAGGCGGCGACGGGUAGCCGGCCUGAGAGGGUGGACGGCCACAUUGGGACUGAGAUACGGCCCAGACUCCUACGGGAGGCAGCAGUGGGGAAGAUUGCACAAUGGGCGCAAGCCUGAUGCAGCGACGCCGCGUGGGGGAUGACGGCCUUCGGGUUGGAAACUCCUUUCGCUAGGGACGAAGCUUUUUGUGACGGUACCUAGAUAAGAAGCACCGGCUAACUACGUG